UCUGCUUUCUAACUCGACUGUCCUCGGACAUCACUUUUUAUGAUCUGGCCUCAAAUCAGGUAGGACUACCCGCUGAACUUAAGCAUAUCAAUAAGCGGAGGAAAAGAAACUAACAAGGAUUCCCCUAGUAACGGCGAGUGAAGCGGGAAGAGCUCAAAUUUGAAAUCUAAUGGCCUCAGGUCAUUCGAGUUGUAAUCUAUAGGAACGUUUUCCGUGCCGGCUCAUGUACAAGUCCCUUGGAACAGGGCGUCAUAGAGGGUGAGAAUCCCGUACUUGACAUGAACUACCGGUGCUCUGUGAUACGUCUCCAACGAGUCGAGUUGUUUGGGAAUGCAGCUCAAAAUGGGUGGUAAAUUCCAUCUAAAGCUAAAUAUUGGUGUGAGACCGAUAGCGAACAAGUACCGUGAGGGAAAGAUGAAAAGCACUUUGGAAAGAGAGUUAAAAAGUAUGUGAAAUUGUUGAAAGGGAAACGAUUGAAGUCAGUCAUGUCCUUCAGAUUCAGCUGGUUCUGCCGGUGUAUUUCUGUUGGAUGGGGUCAACAUCAGUUUUGGAUGCCGGAUAAAGGCAGGAGGAAGGUAGUACUCUCGGGUAAACUUAUAGCCUCCUGUUGCAUACGGUGACUGGGACUGAGGAACGCAGCUUGCCUUU
rnacentral:rRNA from 1 species